rnacentral:rRNA from 1 species
GCGCAGCAGGCGAGAAACCUCCGCAAUACACGAAAGUGUGACGGGGCCAUCCCGAGUGCCGUCCGCUGAGGACGGCUUUUCCCCAGUGUACACAGCUGGGGGAAUAAGGAGAGGGCAAGCCUGGUGUCAGCCGCCGCGGUAAUACCAGCUCUCCGAGUGGUGGGGACGCUUAUUGGGCCUAAAGCAUCCGUAGCCGGCUGGGCAAGUCCUCCGUUAAAUCCAACGAUUCAAUCGUUGGGCUGCGGGGGAUACUGUCCAGCUUGGGGGCGGGAGAGGCCGACGGUAUUCCCGGGGUAGGGGUGAAAUCCUAUAAUCCCGGGAGGACCACCAGUGGCGAAGGCUGUCGGCUAGAACGCGCCCGACGGUGAGGGGAUGAAAGCUGGGGGAGCGAACCGGAUUAGAUACCCGUGUAGU